rnacentral:rRNA from 1 species
CAGCCGUAAACUAUGCGCGUUAGGUGUAUCGGUGACCACGAGUUACCGAGGUGCCGAAGGGAAACCGUGAAACGUGCCGCCUGGGAAGUACGGUCGCAAGGCUGAAACUUAAAGGAAUUGGCGGGGGAGCACCACAACAGGUGGAGCCUGCGGUUUAAUUGGACUCAACGCCGUAAAACUCACCAGGGAAGACUGUUACAUGAAAGCCGAGAUGAAGACUCUGCUAGAUUUUCAGAGAGGAGGUGCAUGGCGUCAGUGACU